rnacentral:rRNA from 1 species
AUUGAACGCUGGCGGCAUGCUUUACACAUGCAAGUCGAACGGUAACAGGGAGCUUGCUCCGCUGACGAGUGGCGAACGGGUGAGUAAUGCGUCGGAACGUGCCGAGUAGUGGGGGAUAACGCAUCGAAAGGUGUGCUAAUACCGCAUACGAACUGAGGUUGAAAGUGGGGGACCUUCGGGCCUCACGCUAUUCGAGCGGCCGACGUCUGAUUAGCUAGUUGGUGAGGUAAAGGCUCACCAAGGCGACGAUCAGUAGCGGGUCUGAGAGGAUGAUCCGCCACACUGGGACUAAGACACGGCCCAGACUCCUACGGGAGGCAGCAGUGGGGAAUUUUGGACAAUGGGCGCAAGCCUGAUCCAGCCAUGCCGCGUGUCUGAAGAAGGCCUUCGGGUUGUAAAGGACUUUUGUCCGGGAGCAAAUACCCAGUGCUAAUAACGCUGGGGGCUGAGAGUACCGGAAGAAUAAGCACCGGCUAACUACGUGCCAGCAGCCGCGUAAUAC